AUGAUUGGAAGUCGAUGUGGAUGGUUCAGAAAUGUAUUUGAAUAUGAUGUGGGUCUUGUUGGUUGUGGGAAAUUUGUGAACUCCAUUGAAGAAUAAGAUCAGAUUGUAUGGUUGAAGAUGAUUGAGGCUUUGGUAUAUUUAUAGUGUUUUGGAGAUGAAGUAAGCUACGAUGUUAUUGACUUGUUACUUUAUUGGAGUUUGAAAGGGUAAUACUUCACAGGAUUGGACCUCAUAUGUGUUUUGACUUUUUCUUGUGCUAUGUGGGGAUUUACUUUUGAGUCUUUGACCAAGCAAAUAAAUAACAAUAGUUUUAUGCUAAAAGAAUAGUCACUAUUUAAUAGUUAAAUGAUUUUUAUUAACCAAGUGAUCAACUAGCUAAUUUUCUUUUAUAGUACAUGGAAUUACCAUGUUUUAUCACUCUUAAGUUUUUUCUAUUUUCUUAACACAUGUAUAGUAGUAACAUCACAUAACUUUUUUUGGGAGGGUUAAUGUAACAAAUGAUAAAAAAGUGAAAUGUGUGGGUUAUAUGACGUGUGUAGUGGAUGAUUAUGUAGAUAUAGGGUUAUAUAUGUAUGUGUAUAUAUAUAUAUAUAUAUAUAUGUGUGUGUGUGUGUGUGUGUGUGUGAGAGAGAGAGAGAGAGAGCCAAUUGUGUUCACCCUGUUAUAAUUUUCACUAGAGAAGCGAUUUAGAGGGGUAUUGCCCCUUUCGGGGCAGUGGCGCCAUAGGACGCUAUAGUGGCCUCCGGCAUUAUAUCACCUUCCACUACGGAAGGACUUAUAGGUAUUUAUAUUUCACGCCCCUCUUAAAUUGAUUUAGUUUUAGAUAUGUGUGUAUAAAAUUAUAAAUAUAGAUUUUGUAUAUGCUUUUGUUAAGGUUUCAUUAUUUUCACAAUUAAGCUCAAAUAUAUAUCAAAAUCAAUACCUAGACCAUUUUUUUAAAUUGAAGUAUUAUGCAUAAGUUUAAUAAGGUUAUAUAUAGUUAAAACUAU
rnacentral:lncRNA from 1 species